GACCUAAAAUUUAGUUUUCUCAUUUAUAAAAUUUGUUAAUUCAUCUAUGCAUACAUACUUGUUGAGCAUGAACUGACAUACAUAGCAUAAAUGCUCACAAAUAUGAUUGUGGCAGGGAAAGCUGAUGCUCACCAAAUCCAUGUUCUCCCUCUCUUCUAGGCUCAGAGCUAGACUACAUUUCCCAACUUCCCUUGCAGUAAGUGUGGUCAUGUACUAGUUCAGCCAAUAGAAUUUGAGUAGAGAGGAGGUUCAUAAACCCCACGUGUGAUCUUCCACUUUCUUUCUCUCUGCUGGAUUAGAAUGAAGAUGGCCCAGGGUGACCAUGGAAACCCUGUGUUGGAGAUGGCAGCUCUGCUGUCAGCCUGAGCCUCUGAAGGACUGUGGAGGAGGACAUGCUAGUGGUUUGUUUACCUGCCCAGUACUAUCAUGCCAUGGGAUUUCACUCCUGACUGAUGGUAGAUGUGGACAGAUGACUUGCAUCUAUUAAAAAUGAUGUGUGGAGAAACUUUAAAAUGAGCCGUUUAUUGACUUAUUCAUGGCUAGAGGAAAUCUCAGCUAUGUAUCACAGUUUGGAAAUCAAGUGUCAAAAGUUACUGGAUUUAGAAUCUCACUAAGUUGCUCAAAGUGUCACUAAAUUGCUGAGGCUGGCCUUGAACUAAUAGUCAUCCUGCCUCUGGCUCCUGAGUUUCUAGGAUUACAGUUAUCAUUCACUAAAGACAUACAACAAAGUAGGGACUAUGUUAGGCCUCCAAGAUAUUAAAAGUUGACAAUGAUGCAUAAAUUCCUACCCUUAGGGAGUUUAGGUUCUAGUGGGGGAAAGUUUCUCACAUAAAGGCAACAAUUUACAGAUUCUUCUGAACUGUGUAAAAGAGAAAGAAAAAAGAAAGAAGAGAGAAAGAAAAGAAGGAAAGAUGGAAAGAAGGAGAGAGAGAAGAGAAGAGAGCUGCAUUUUUGGGCUACUAUAUUGUUUUUAAAAAUACCAAAAAAUACCCCCCCCCAAUGUCCCACCAGUAUUCUAGGAAGGAUAUGUCUCCAAGAUUAACAAAAACAAUUAUUCUCUCAAGUUAUCCAUGGGAAGUGGAGCUUCAUAGCAAUAACAAUGCUGCUCUUAACAAUGGUAAUUGUCUUAAACACUAUUAAUAGUGUUGCCUUUAACAGCACAGAAAUAGUGCAGCAGAGGUGGCUGUGACCAGAAGUACCUCAUCUCUAGAUCUAAUAUAAAAGGUGAACACACCAGUAUUUCCUGUGCUGCAAGAAUGUCUAGAAAUAAUCCAUUUUUGCAAUACAAAAAUAUUUUGAGAGCUUAGGUAGUCUCCUUUUAAGUAUUUUUAAAAAUACACAUGGAAACCUCAAUCUCUCUUUUUACAUUCAUAAUGAUUUUAAAAAUAUUACUAGCAAAAGAUCCCUCCAUCUAAAUUGCACAUAUGUGAGAAAUAGCUCUCUUGAGCAUUAGCUCAUUGGCAGCCUCCACAUCCAGGGAGAAGUUGGAGGUGUUUACUCUCCCCACAUCCCUCCCUACCUUACUGGCAUCAAAUGGGUGGAGUCCAGAGACACUGCUAAACAUCCUGCAAUGCCCCCAAACAGGACCCACCACAAAGAAACACCCAGCCCCAAAUGUCUUCUGAGAUGGAGAAAUCCUGCUCUAGAGAAAAAAAAAAAAAAAAAAAAACAGCUGAAGAAAAGACUGAACAACGAGGAAAAGGGGUGUCAGAAGGCUUUGUCCCCACAACCAGUGAGGACAUCCUGAGUGCUGGGUCUGGAAUGCAGAAAGGGAGCAAGAGGCAACCGAUAACAGAUGCUGGGAUUUAGCCACCCCCUUCCUUUCUAUGCCUGCACCAAUUCCCUAGGGGCCCAGGGUCAGAAGCUUUGAUUGGGCUCAUCGUUCCAAGUUGACAGCUGCACGUUUGUUCUUGUCUGAGUCUCUUGCUGCUUCUCAACCUGGCCUCCCGAAGAUGGACUCAUCCAAAGCCUGACAUGGAGACUGAAACUUAGGGUAUUCAUCUCUGUCAUCAUCUACAUUCACUUAUUUAUUGGGUGCUGACUACAGGCUCCAAGAAACAGUCGGACCACUGAAAGCUAUGCAGCUAGCUCCAUCUGAAUAGGCCUGCUCCAAUUUUCCAACUCAGGACUAUUUUUUCUCACCUGUCCCUGUCUUCUCUGUUACUCAAAUUCUUUUGGGGGUGAAAAAAUGGAAACACAAAGUAGGUAAAACCAAAUAUGAUUUAGGUUGAAAAGCAAUCAAUUGAAAAUUCCUGUAUGCAGAACCAUUGUCUUAUUUAAAUAUAUUUACUUUUUACAUUUUAAAAAUUGCUCAUCAAAGUUUAUUCUACCACUCCAGGUGAAAGAAUCACAAGAAGACUAAAAAUAUUUUUAAUUGACACAUAGUAAUGUAUAUAUUUAUGGAGUGCAUGGUGACAUUUCAAAACAUGUAUAUUAUGUGUGAUGAUCAGAUCAGGGCAAUCAGCAUAUCUGUCACCUCAGAUGUUUCUCAUUUCUUUCUGUUGGGAACAUGGAAAAUCCUACUAGCAAUUUUGAAAUAUUAAGUGAGUUGUGGCGACCCAUAGUAGUUCUGCUAUGCUAGAGAAUACUAGGAAUUUUUCUUCUUAUCCAAGUGCACCCUUGAAUCAUUAACCAUCCUCUCUCCAUCCUCCCGCCCAGGCUCUGGUAACUAUUAUUUUGUUCUCUACUUCCACAACUUUUUAGCUUCCACAUAUGAGUGAGAAAACGUAGUGUUUAUCUUUGUAUGUCUGACUUAUUUCACUUAACAUAAUGUCAUUCAGUUUUAUCCAUGUUGCUGCAAAUGACAGAAUUUUUUAAUGGCUGAAUAAUAUUUCAUUGUGUAUGCAUACCACAUUUUCUUGCCCAUUUAUUCACACAUCUGUAAAUGUUAAAAUGUGAUGACUUUCUUGAUUUCUUUCUUAGCAAUUUUGUUGUUGGUAGAUAAAAAAGCUACUAAUUUGGUAUGUUGAUUUUGUAUCUGCCCACUUUAUUUAAUUUGUUGAUCAGUCCUAAGAGUUUUUCAAUGGCAUUUUUCCCAUGAAUAAAAUCAUGUCAUCUUCAAAUAGGAAUAAUUUGAAUUCCUCCUUUCCUAUUUGGAUGUCCUUUAUUUCUUUCUCUCCCUUUAUUACUCUGGCUAAAUGUUUCAAUACUAUAUUGAAUAAGAGUGAUGAAAGUAGGCUUCCUUCUGGCAAUAUAUGCAUAUCCAUGUUUAUAGCAGCACAAUUCAUAAUACCCAGGCUAUGGAACCAGCCCAGGUGCUUGUCAACAGAUGAAUAAAUAAAGAAAAUGUGGUAUAUAUACAUAAUUGUGUUUUACUCAGCCAUAAAGAAGAAUGAAAUAUAUCAUUUGGAGGAAAAUGGAUGGAACUGGAGACAUAAUUUUGAGCAAGAUAAAUGAGACUCAAGAAACAUAUUGUUAUGUUUUCCCUCAUAUGUGGAAGACAAAGGGGAAAAAGACAUAUCAUAAAAGUAGAAAGGUGACUAUAGUAUAGAGGAAGGGGGUAAUGGGGAGGAAGGAGGGAAGGAUGGGGGCAAAAUUGAUCAAGUUGUAUUUCUAUAUAUGUGGGAAUAUGUCACAAUGAAAACCCUCAUUCUGUAUAAUUGAGAUGAACUAAUGAAAACAAUAAUUUUUAAGUGUUUAAAGAUGAAAUAUAAUAAAAAUUAGUCAAACUAUUAAAAAA